UCGCAAGAGUGCUACUGCAGCUACAAACACUACAAUAAAAAUGGUAUAUAGCGACACCUUUAUAUGUCAGUAUAGGUCAAAAAAAGUGAUGCUGGCUAAAUUACCGACACUUUUAAAAAGUGUUGCUAUAUGUGGGGUCGUUAGGUAUAUAGUGACAGUUAAAGAGUGUUGCUAUAAUCUAAAAGAGUGCUGCUAAUUUACCAACACUUAUUUAAGCAUUUAGCAACCGUCGGAACUCUAGCUCGUUGGCUGCAGUGGCGGAGGAGGACGAGAAGAAGGGAUUUUUGUGUAGGAUUUCAAUGAAUUGAGUGAGGAGAGAAGGGGAUGGUAAUCGAUUUUUCUUUUUUUUUUUUCUUUUCGGUUUGUAAUCGGGCCGAAUUGGAUAGGUGGGGUAGGUUGAGUAGAGUAAUCUUUUAUUUUUGGUUGGAUUGAGCUUUAUAUUUAGGUAUUAGUAGAUUUUUUUUAAGUUUUGGCAUAAAUGAGACACUUACACAAAAGUGUCCCAAACAUGUGUACUUAUAACCUAAUUCUGUUGUAGUGAAAAGAAUGCUUCUUUUUUUUUGAGAAAUAAGAAUAAU
rnacentral:lncRNA from 1 species